CAGUGGGGAAUCUUGCACAAUGGGCGAAAGCCUGAUGCAGCAACGCCGCGUGAGGGACGAAGGCUUUCUGAGUUGUAAACCUCUUUCAGCAGGGACGAUUGUGACGGUACCUGCAGAAGAAGCCCCGGCCAACUACGUGCCAGCAGCCGCGGUAAUACGUAGGGGGCAAGCGUUGUCCGGAUUUAUUGGGCGUAAAGAGCUCGUAGGCGGCUUGGCAAGUCGGGUGUGAAACCUCCAGGCUCAACCUGGAGUCGCCAUUCGAUACUGCUAUGGCUUGAGUUUGGUAGGGGACCACGGAAUUCCUGGUGUAGCGGUGAAAUGCGCAGAUAUCAGGAGGAACACCAGCGGCGAAGGCGGUGGUCUGGGCCAAUACUGACGCUGAGGAGCGAAAGCGUGGGGAGCGAACAGGAUUAGA
rnacentral:rRNA from 1 species